AAAAAAUGUCUCUUUACGAUUACGGUUAGAAAUGAAUAGAAUACAAUUAAAAAAAGAGUGAAAACAGUCCCGCUACACCAAAACUUGAAGACAGCGAUGAGAAGCGUCACAGCGAUCCACAGGACUGUCAGAAGCACUCUGCAACGGCACUCAAACCCUGCAGUAACAAUUGCGCGUCUCUCCUGGUAACGCAGCACCAACGCCAGGAUGACGGUCCUGUAAAAUGACAUUAUGGUCUUAUACCAGGAGAAGUAUUAUGGGAUAAAUUGUGACGAUCGAGAUCCCAAACAGCAGCCUGGCAAUGAUCAUCACCACAUCAUUUCCAGGAUAUGACAUCAGGAUAUCUGAUGCCACUCCACGUCCGAAUGUAAAGAAAC